AAAAAAUUAGUUAAAAUACAUAACAUUAAUUUGUCAAAUUAAAAUUAUUAAUAAAUAUUUUUUA
rnacentral:tRNA from 2 species